CAGUGGCGAACGGGUGAGUAACACGUGGGCAAUCUGCCCUGCACUCUGGGACAAGCCCUGGAAACGGGGUCUAAUACCGGAUAUGACCGUCUUCCGCAUGGUGGAUGGUGGAAAGCUCCGGCGGUGCAGGAUGAGCCCGCGGCCUAUCAGCUUGUUGGUGGGGUGAUGGCCUACCAAGGCGACGACGGGUAGCCGGCCUGAGAGGGCGACCGGCCACACUGGGACUGAGACACGGCCCAGACUCCUACGGGAGGCAGCAGUGGGGAAUAUUGCACAAUGGGCGCAAGCCUGAUGCAGCGACGCCGCGUGAGGGAUGACGGCCUUCGGGUUGUAAACCUCUUUCAGCAGGGAAGAAGCGCAAGUGACGGUACCUGCAGAAGAAGCACCGGCUAACUACGUGCCAGCAGCCGCGGUAAUACGUAGGGUGCGAGCGUUGUCCGGAAUUAUUGGGCGUAAAGAGCUCGUAGGCGGCUUGUCGCGUCGGAUGUGAAAGCCCGGGGCUUAACUCCGGGUCUGCAUUCGAUACGGGCAGGCUAGAGUUCGGUAGGGGAGAUCGGAAUUCCUGGNGC
rnacentral:rRNA from 1 species